rnacentral:rRNA from 1 species
GAUGAACGCUGGCGGCGUGCCUAAUACAUGCAAGUCGAGCGAACGGACGAGAAGCUUGCUUCUCUGAUGUUAGCGGCGGACGGGUGAGUAACACGUGGAUAACCUACCUAUAAGACUGGGAUAACUUCGGGAAACCGGAGCUAAUACCGGAUGAUAUUUUGAACCGCAUGGUUCAAAAGUGAAAGACGGUCUUGCUGUCACUUAUAGAUGGAUCCGCGCUGCAUUAGCUAGUUGGUAAGGUAACGGCUUACCAAGGCAACGAUGCAUAGCCGACCUGAGAGGGUGAUCGGCCACACUGGAACUGAGACACAGUCCAGACUCCUACGGGAGGCAGCAGUAGGGAAUCGUCCGCAAUGGGCGAAAGCCUGACGGAGCAACGCCGCGUGAGUAGUGAAGGUCUUCGGAUCGUAAAACUCUGUUAUUAGGUAAGAACAUAUGUGUAAGUAACUGUGCACAUCUUGACGGUACCUAAUCAGAAAGCCACGGCUAGCUACGUG